UACGUAGGGGGCAAGCGUUGUCCGGAAUCAUUGGGCGUAAAGCGCGUGUAGGCGGCUAGGUAAGUCUGCUCUGAAAGCCCGGGGCUCAACCCCGGGAGGCGGGUGGAUACUGUCUAGCUCGAGUCCGGAAGAGGAGUGUGGAAUUCCUGGUGUAGCGGUGAAAUGCGCAGAUAUCAGGAGGAACACCAAUGGCGAAAGGCAGCACUCUGGGACGUGACUGACGCUGAGACGCGAAAGCGUGGGGAGCAAACAGG
rnacentral:rRNA from 1 species